rnacentral:rRNA from 1 species
GCAUAUCAAUAAGCGGAGGAAAAGAAACCAACAGGGAUUGCCCUAGUAACGGCGAGUGAAGCGGCAACAGCUCAAAUUUGAAAUCUGGCGUCUUCGGCGUCCGAGUUGUAAUUUGCAGAGGGCGCUUUGGCAUUGGCAGCGGUCCAAGUUCCUUGGAACAGGACGUCACAGAGGGUGAGAAUCCCGUACGUGGUCGCUAGCCUUUACCGUGUAAAGCCCCUUCGACGAGUCGAGUUGUUUGGGAAUGCAGCUCUAAAUGGGAGGUAAAUUUCUUCUAAAGCUAAAUACUGGCCAGAGACCGAUAGCGCACAAGUAGAGUGAUCGAAAGAUGAAAAGCACUUUGGAAAGAGAGUUAAAAAGCACGUGAAAUUGUUGAAAGGGAAGCGCUUGCAGCCAGACUUGCCUGUAGUUGCUCAUCCGGGUUUCUACCCGGUGCACUCUUCUAUAGGCAGGCCAGCAUCAGUUUGGGCGGUUGGAUAAAGGUCUCUGUCAUGUACCUCUCUUCGGGGAGAACUUAUAGGGGAGACGACAUGCAACCAGCCCGGACUGAGGUCCGCGCAUCUGCUAGGAUGCUGGCGUAAUGGCUGUAAGCGGCCCGUCUUGAAACACGGACCAAGGAGUCUAACAUCUAUGCGAGUGUUUGGGUGUCAAGCCCGAGCGCGUAAUGAAAGUGAACGGAGGUGGGAACCUUUCGGGGUGCACCAUCGACCGAUCCUGAUGUCUUCGGAUGGAUUUGAGUAAGAGCAUAGCUGUUGGGACCCGAAAGAUGGUGAACUAUGCUUGAAUAGGGUGAAGCCAGAGGAAACUCUGGUGGAGGCUCGCAGCGGUUCUGACGUGCAAAUCGAUCGUCAAAUUUGGGCAUAGGGGCGAAAGACUAAUCGAACUAUCUAGUAGCUGGUUCCUGCCGAA